ensembl:antisense_RNA anr-32 ncRNA
UCUUCCCGAUCGUGCCCUAGAUAGUACUCCAAUCACAAUAGACGCAGAAAAUGCACUUUUUCCACCUUUUCCCUUUUUCUUGAAUGACGUGAUACCGGUGUGCGGGUGGGUGGUGGUGGUGGUUCGUAUAACUAUAACUCCUCUGUCUAUAUUUUCAGAAAAAAAAACGGACGGGGGGUGAAAAAAAAAACGGACGCCUCCUUCUGGUUCUCACGUCUCCCGUGAGACAUAUAGCCGAGUCUUAUCCCUCUGUGUGCUUGUGUUUGCUCAUUGUGCUCGAGUACGUAGAGCCUGGUCGCCUAGCUCACGCAUUUUUUGAGUUAUUACUCUGAAUAUGUGAACUAGCGGAAAACAAUAGUGAUGUAGUUCGUGAGUUCUAAGUUUUAAUUGGAACACAAGAUAGAGGGAAAAUGUACAUCCUAGAAGUACCCAUUGAAUAAUUCCCUCCGCCUACCUAAUUAUUUUGGACAAGUUGUUAUUUAUCGAGCAAAAAUGGAUGGUGCUGGGGAAAAUAUCUAGAAGCGGUAAACAUAACAAUUUUGAGUUCAUAUCAGGGUUGGACGGCAAUUGACGUUCGGCAAUCCGAAUUUUCGGCAAUUAGCGAAAAUGCCGAUUGUGGAACUUGAAAAAAUCGUUACCUAGCGAUUAUCGAAAUGCCGAAAACAUAUCCAAUUUCCAGACUAAAAUAUCAAUUUCUCUAUAAUUUUUAUUCAGUUAAAAAAUCACUAACUCACUAAACAGUAGAAAUUAGUUUUUUCUGGAAAUUUCAAAAUUUGUUCGAUACUUGCCGAAUUAUAGAAAUGCCAAAAAUUUUGCAAUUUUUUUUCCGAAAAAUUUCCAUAUCGAAGCAAAUAAUUUUUGUAAAGCUACGAUCCCUGGAGCUUCUGAACUUUAAGUUUUUGGCAAAAAAUUGUCCACAACUACGGGAAGUUAUACAAUUUCCAUGUUCCCAAAUCAUUUAAACUUGAAAAAUGUUUUUUUUUGUAACUCAUAGUUUUGUGUUUUGCUUUCAGAACUGGUAUAAUUUUAACAAAUUUUGUUGUCUAGUGUUCCAAGAAAAAUGCCCAAUUUCAAAAAUCAAGUCUAAUUUUUCAAAAAACCAAAACUAUUUCCGGGAAAUCCAAACCCAAUAUUUAUUAUUUUCCAACUUAAUCUAAAGUUCAUAAACUUCAUGCACAAGGGAAACUUCUCAUUACAGGUGUUUUCAAAACACGUCUUCUGUGUUUGGUAAGCGGAUCAUUGAAGAGUUUCUAAUGAGCUAUUUCAUGCGUAUAAUUUCAAACGUUCUGGUGUGACUUCAGUUAACAUAAAGAUCAACAUUGAAACUAACUUUUGACGCCACGGGGUUUGAUUUUUAGUGUUAUAGCGUUUUAGCUUUUCACUAGUUAUGUUUUUUUGAUUUAAAGUUAUUAUUAAAAACACGAAUACAUAUUUUUUCAGACUCACCUGUGUUUUGAGUGGAGUAAAGACGUUUUACAGCUGCCCAGCAGAUGAUUUUCCUAUUAUUGGUAUUGAUCUGAAAAUGAAAAUGCUAUGAUGUUU